rnacentral:rRNA from 1 species
UACGAAGGGUGCAAGCGUUACUCGGAAUUACUGGGCGUAAAGCGUGCGUAGGUGGUGAGUUAAGUCUGUCGUGAAAGCCCCGGGCUCAACCUGGGAAUGGCAUUGGAUACUGGCGACCUAGAGUGCGGUAGAGGGGUGUGGAAUUCCCGGUGUAGCAGUGAAAUGCGUAGAUAUCGGGAGGAACAUCUGUGGCGAAGGCGACACCCUGGACCAGCACUGACACUGAGGCACGAAAGCGUGGGGAGCAAACAGG